AGAGUUUGAUCCUGGCUCAGUACNAACGCUGGCGGCGUGCUUAACACAUGCAAGUCGAACGGUGACAUCAGGGCUUGCCCUGGUUGAUCAGUGGCGAACGGGUGAGUAACACGUGAGUAACCUGCCCCAGACUCUGGGAUAACCCCGGGAAACCGGAGCUAAUACCGGAUAUGACACCAAUCCGCAUGGGUAUGGUGUGGAAAGUUUUUCGGUCUGGGAUGGACUCGCGGCCUAUCAGCUUGUUGGUGAGGUAGUGGCUCACCAAGGCGACGACGGGUAGCCGGCCUGAGAGGGCGACCGGCCACACUGGGACUGAGACACGGCCCAGACUCCUACKGGAGGCAGCAGUGGGGAAUAUUGCACAAUGGGCGAAAGCCUGAUGCAGCGACGCCGCGUGAGGGAUGACGGCCUUCGGGUUGUAAACCUCUUUCAGCAGGGAAGAAGCGAAAGUGACGGUACCUGCAGAAGAAGCACCGGCUAACUACGUGCCAGCAGCCGCGGUAAUACGUAGGGUGCGAGCGUUGUCCGGAAUUAUUGGGCGUAAAGAGCUUGUAGGCGGUUUGUCGCGUCUGCUGUGAAAAUCCGGGGCUCAACCCCGGACUUGCAGUGGGUACGGGCAGACUAGAGUGUGGUAGGGGAGACUGGAAUUCCUGGUGUAGCGGUGGAAUGCGCAGAUAUCAGGAGGAACACCGAUGGCGAAGGCAGGUCUCUGGGCCACUACUGACGCUGAGAAGCGAAAGCAUGGGGAGCGAACAGGAUUAGAUACCCUGGUAGUCCAUGCCGUAAACGUUGGGAACUAGGUGUGGGUCUCAUUCCACGAGAUCCGUGCCGCAGCUAACGCAUUAAGUUCCCCGCCUGGGGAGUACGGCCGCAAGGCUAAAACUCAAAGGAAUUGACGG
rnacentral:rRNA from 1 species